GAUGAACGCUGGCGGCGUGCCUAAUACAUGCAAGUCGAGCGAACGGACGAGAAGCUUGCUUCUCUGAUGUUAGCGGCGGACGGGUGAGUAACACGUGGAUAACCUACCUAUAAGACUGGGAUAACUUCGGGAAACCGGAGCUAAUACCGGAUAAUAUUUUGAACCGCAUGGUUCAAAAGUGAAAGACGGUCUUGCUGUCACUUAUAGAUGGAUCCGCGCUGCAUUAGCUAGUUGGUAAGGUAACGGCUUACCAAGGCAACGAUGCAUAGCCGACCUGAGAGGGUGAUCGGCCACACUGGAACUGAGACACGGUCCAGACUCCUACGGGAGGCAGCAGUAGGGAAUCUUCCGCAAUGGGCGAAAGCCUGACGGAGCAACGCCGCGUGAGUGAUGAAGGUCUUCGGAUCGUAAAACUCUGUUAUUAGGGAAGAACAUAUGUGUAAGUAACUGUGCACAUCUUGACGGUACCUAAUCAGAAAGCCACGGCUAACUACGUGCCAGCAGCCGCGGUAAUACGUAGGUGGCAAGCGUUAUCCGGAAUUAUUGGGCGUAAAGCGCGCGUAGGCGGUUUUUUAAGUCUGAUGUGAAAGCCCACGGCUCAACCGUGGAGGGUCAUUGGAAACUGGAAAACUUGAGUGCAGAAGAGGAAAGUGGAAUUCCAUGUGUAGCGGUGAAAUGCGCAGAGAUAUGGAGGAACACCAGUGGCGAAGGCGACUUUCUGGUCUGUAACUGACGCUGAUGUGCGAAAGCGUGGGGAUCAAACAGGAUUAGAUACCCUGGUAGUCCACGCCGUAAACGAUGAGUGCUAAGUGUUAGGGGGUUUCCGCCCCUUAGUGCUGCAGCUAACGCAUUAAGCACUCCGCCUGGGGAGUACGACCGCAAGGUUGAAACUCAAAGGAAUUGACGGGGACCCGCACAAGCGGUGGAGCAUGUGGUUUAAUUCGAAGCAACGCGAAGAACCUUACCAAAUCUUGACAUCCUUUGACAACUCUAGAGAUAGAGCCUUCCCCUUCGGGGGACAAAGUGACAGGUGGUGCAUGGUUGUCGUCAGCUCGUGUCGUGAGAUGUUGGGUUAAGUCCCGCAACGAGCGCAACCCUUAAGCUUAGUUGCCAUCAUUAAGUUGGGCACUCUAAGUUGACUGCCGGUGACAAACCGGAGGAAGGUGGGGAUGACGUCAAAUCAUCAUGCCCCUUAUGAUUUGGGCUACACACGUGCUACAAUGGACAAUACAAAGGGCAGCGAAACCGCGAGGUCAAGCAAAUCCCAUAAAGUUGUUCUCAGUUCGGAUUGUAGUCUGCAACUCGACUACAUGAAGCUGGAAUCGCUAGUAAUCGUAGAUCAGCAUGCUACGGUGAAUACGUAUCCCGGGUCU
rnacentral:rRNA from 1 species